rnacentral:rRNA from 1 species
UACGGAGGAUGCAAGCGUUAUCCGGAAUUAUUGGGCGUAAAGCGUCCGCAGGUGGUUAAUCAAGUCUGCUGUUAAAGCGUCCAGCUUAACUGGAUAUCGGCAGUGGAAACUGAUUGACUAGAGUUUGGUAGGGGUCACGGGAAUUCCCAGUGUAGCGGUGAAAUGCGUAGAUAUUGGGAAGAACACCAGCGGCGAAAGCGCGUGACUGGGCCUGAACUGACACUCAUGGACGAAAGCUAGGGGAG